rnacentral:rRNA from 1 species
ACGGGUGAGUAACACGUGGGUAACCUGCCCAUCAGAAGGGGAUAACACUUGGAAACAGGUGCUAAUACCGUAUAACAAUCGAAACCGCAUGGUUUUGAUUUGAAAGGCGCUUUCGGGUGUCGCUGAUGGAUGGACCCGCGGUGCAUUAGCUAGUUGGUGAGGUAACGGCUCACCAAGGCCACGAUGCAUAGCCGACCUGAGAGGGUGAUCGGCCACAUUGGGACUGAGACACGGCCCAAACUCCUACGGGAGGCAGCAGUAGGGAAUCUUCGGCAAUGGACGAAAGUCUGACCGAGCAACGCCGCGUGAGUGAAGAAGGUUUUCGGAUCGUAAAACUCUGUUGUUAGAGAAGAAUAAGGAUGAGAGUAACUGUUCAUCCCUUGACGGUAUCUAACCAGAAAGCCACGGCUAACUACGUGCCAGCAGCCGCGGUAAUACGUAGGUGGCAAGCGUUGUCCGGAUUUAUUGGGCGUAAAGCGAGCGCAGGCGGUUUCUUAAGUCUGAUGUGAAAGCCCCCGGCUCAACCGGGGAGGGUCAUUGGAAACUGGGAGACUUGAGUGCAGAAGAGGAGAGUGGAAUUCCAUGUGUAGCGGUGAAAUGCGUAGAUAUAUGGAGGAACACCAGUGGCGAA